rnacentral:lncRNA from 1 species
AAAAAAUUCUUUGUAUUGGUUGUAUCCCCUCUGGAAGCUGAUAUACCUGAGUUUUAUAUCUGUUUGAAGAUCACAAGGAGAAAAGAAGGAAUAGUCAUGUUUACAGAGUCCACAAAGACAUUGCUUUGCAUUUUAAUGAGGGAUGACAGCAAACAGCUCUCUCUGUUUUCUUCUAGCUGCGGAAAGUAUUAUUAUUACUCGGUUUCUACCAUCAAAUGUGCUACCAUGUUAGCAAGGAACAGCCAUUUUAGUUAUGCUUUCCAUAAAGCAUGCCUGAAAAAUUAAGAUAACAAUAGGUGUCACUUAAGAACACUGGAAAGAUGAUGGCUGUUCUCAAGGUAAGUCCUUAAAUACUUUAAAAUGUAUUUGGCAUUAUUUUCCAGUUGUUUUUAAUUGUCAGGAAAUUCACAGAAUUUGGAAAGUAAGGAAUGUAAGUACAUUCCUUUUUUGCAAUUAGCUAAAGCAGAAUAUUGCCUGGUCUCACCAGUUUUCUUUAGACAUGCUGCUGUCAAUAAAUAUGUUUGUGUGUGAUUGUAUGCA